rnacentral:pre_miRNA from 1 species
UGCACCUGGGGAUCUUGUUAAAAUGCAGAUUCUGUUUCCGUGGGUCUCAGUGGGGCAUGAGAUUCUGCAUUUCUAACAGACUUCCACGUGUUGCCAG